CCUCCAAUCCCCGGUGCCUGCCCUAAUUUCCUGAUCCAGGGAACCUGCCGCCGCAGCAGCUGUGCGCUCCCUACAGUCAUUACUGUACCUUCCCGGCAGCCGCCAACCGUAAAUGCAGCAGCAGCAGCAGUUAGCACUGAUGCAACUACUGAGGCUAUUGCCACCGCCUUCCCACUAACGCGGCUUACAGCCCGGAGGGGGGGACUUGCAGUUUCCAGGGGCAACAAGCGUCUCUCUACCACCUUCUCCUGCGCCUCAAAGGAGGCUGGUCCUGUGAGGCUGGAAAGGUACAGUCUUGACAAGGAACAAAAGACGUCUGUAUAUGAAGAAAUGACAGAUGACCAUGUGUUAAGUGUCAGCUUUGAUGGAUUUACACAAGAAGGCCAAAGCAACUCAAGGAAGGGAGACACCCCUGGAAUCCUCAGGACCUUUUGGUGGAGCAGAAAGCUUUGGUUCAUGCACCUGAAAAGCUGACCCGGAAGUCAUGCUUAGAGAAGAAAAAGAGGGAAGAGCCUCUUAGGUAACUUGAAGAGCAUAAAGGAUCCAAUGAUAAAAACCACUGCCCUGAAGUGACGUGUGCUACUUUCAGCUGAGGACUCAACUGCUGACAUGACACCCUCGAGAUCUCUCUUUUUCUCCUCUGCCAUCACAUCCCAAAAUCCUCCAGAGUGGAUGCUUCAUCAUCGUGGGUUUGGAGCUAAGAUGAUGACGAUACUGAGAAGAGCCUGGGGCAGACUCACUGUGAAAAAUAAACUUUUAUUGUUUUAAGCCACUGAAGAAAACAGAAAACACUGCCCUGAACUUUCCAAGGUGUAAUAAAUCUCUCUGCAGUCAUUGCCAAGGCAGAUCCUGAACUGAGAGCCACGUGGAAAGAGGACUGGAAUGGAAAUCAGAUUCGGGGUCCUGCUUGGGUUUCUUCCAGAUGACCCCACCCGUCAGCCAUCUGGUCUCAGGUAAGUAUCUGUGACUUACAAAAAAA